CACCUGGCUCCCAUUGAGCUGGCCUAUAAAUAGAUUCCUCUGAGGGCCAGCUGUUGGGGUCAAAUGGCUGUCACACGCAUCAGAAGGGACAAGAUGGCGUCUCAUAAUCAGGUGCAGCUGCUUUGAUCCGCUGCCAGAAAGUUGCUCCUGUGCUAGCUGAACUUCAGCUGAGUUUUUCUGCUGAACUUUGAGCCAGUGGCCUCGCGGAGGCGUCAAGCGCCGGAUUGGUUUCCUCCAAUCGCAGGAAGAGAGGAGAGUCCAGACAAACAUGGAGCGGCGGGACCUUAACGAGCGGAAGGACAUUUCCUUUUGUUUCCUUCUCCAUUUCUUUGCCGCCGUGGUUCCAUCAGUUGGGAGUUAAAUCACAGCGUAGACGGUUUUCCUGGAAUCACCCUGGAGAUGUUCUGGUUGUUCGGUUUCGGACCGCAGCUGCAGGUGGGACAGCGGGAUCUUCAGAACCAGACUCCUCGGUUCUGACGCCGCUGCAACAAGAUAAACAUGGCUGCCCACACCAGCAUGGUCGCUUCUGUUGGUGAUCACCGUCUGAAAACUGAUGGCUGCUGGUUCGCUACCUUCCAUCCCUACAGGCCACAGAGCCUCUGAGCAAGGCACCAGGGGCCAAACCUUUCUUCCUUCCUCUCUCCUUUCCUUAAUCUUGUUGCUCUCCUCUGUCCUACGUCUCUUCCUGUCUUCCUCUUUUCACCUCGGCGUUUCGUUUCGCUGCUUCUGGCCGAUCAGAGGAGCCGUCGUUUCCUGUCGAGGAGCCGUCGUUUCCUGUCGAGGAGCCGUCGUUUUUUGGUGAAGAGCCGCCGUCUCCGGGCGAGGAGCCGUCGUUUUCUGUCGAGGAGCCGUCGUUUCCUGUCGAGGAGCCGUUGUUUUUUGUCGAGGAGCCGUCGUUUCCUGUCGAGGAGCCGGCGUUUCCUGUCGAGGAGCCGUCGUUUCCUGUCGAGGAGCCGGCGUUUCCUGUCGAGGAGCCGUCGUUUCCUGUCGAGGAGCCGUCGUUUCCUGUCGAGGAGCCGUCGUUUCCUGUCGAGGAGCCAUCGUUUCCGGCUGGUUUUUUUUCAGGACACUAAUUCCAGGCACAGGCAAGUUAUCAAGACCAUUUGCUGUGUUUGUCAGGAAAUGCGACACGUUACACAUUUAGUAACUCGUUGCAUUUUCUCCUAACUGGCGUUCAGGUAAAUCAUCUGAAAAGAGACUCUCCAACUUUGGAGUUCGGCCUUGGUUGCUCUUUUUAACGAACUAAUUUUCCCAAUAGGACCACAUAAAGAAACAUCUGUGAAGGCAGGAAAACUUUAGACAACAGAACUUCUUGUACAACAACCAAAGAGUUUUAGGACCAAACAUGAGCCAACAGUUUUACAGCUUCAUCAAUUUCUCAUUAUGAUGUGGUUGUGUUUGAGAUCUGUGAGAAGAACGGUUAACACCCUGCUGCAGUUUCUGACUCGAACUAAAUUACUUUUUUCUCCUGCAGGCUCACUCCAGUUACAUCUCAUUACUGUUAGCGUUUGGUCCCACGUUACAAAAAGCUGCGGACCUGCUGCUGUGAUUUAGCGCAUGGCGGCGGUUGCUCAGGGCGGUUAUUUUGUCACGUUUCGUUCGGCUCGGCGCUCACGCUGGGAGAAAGUGAGACUGAUCUCGACCUUUUCAGACAGGAACUUUGGCGCUCUGACAUAGACUGCGAAGACGAGUGCGGUUCCUGCAGAGAUCCGUCCUGCAGCCAUCCGCGUUUUAUGGCCAGUCUCUUGCACUUCCUGGUUUUCAUGCAGCGGGUCGAACAAAGUGCUGCGCCUGCUGAUCGAAGGAUAAAAAUAACUACAGCUGUGGGCGCUGGGAAAAACUUUCCCUGGUUCCCAAUCAUCAUAAAACUUCAACAUUCAACAAACAGAGUCAUUACAAAAAAUUAUUUCAUUUACUGAAAAGUGUUUUGUCGAAAACAGGUGAGAUCAUCCCUUAUUUCCAGGCGUAAUUAUAAAAUAAAAUAAAAAAAAUAAAUAAAGCCAUUUUCCAAAAGA